UCAGGUGUGGGGAGAAGCUGUGGAAGCCGAGAGCUCCGUGUCAGAGGCCCCGGGGGUUUCCCCACAG
rnacentral:miRNA from 1 species